GACAUGCCCUAGCGUGGCUCCAUUUUCACCCGUUGUGCUAAGAAUCUCUCAGUGGUCCUUUCAAUCUGGCAACUUAUUUCCGUCUGUUCUGGAAAACUCUUUGAAUUGUUUCUCUGAUGAUUUCUUUCCUUCCAAUUAUUUGUCUGUUUGGAUAACCUGGCCUCAUCUUCCAAUGAUCUUAUCUUUUCAUUCCUAUUUUUUGUUGCUUUGUGUGUUCUCUCAAUGUUGCCUUCCAACACUCCUAUUGAGUUGUUUGUGGCUGUCAUAUGGUGAUGUCCAAGGGCUGCUUUUUGACAGGGUGCGAGACAUCCUUUUACUUCCCUGCAUGUAUGAACGAUUGUGUGUGGAGAUGUGCUUUGUGACAGAGGGACCUAUCGAACCACAGGGCUAGAUGGCUGGCUCCACAUCUGCUCAGGAAAGAAGGCAUUUUCGGGAAGUUAUGGAAAAAGUGCCAGCAAUCGGAUUUUGCCUGAAGCUUGAGUCGUUGAAAGCAGGGGAAUUUGUCAUGACAUAAUCCAGAUUUCCAAGAAAGGAAAAGAAGUCGACCUACUUUCUGCACACCAGUCGUUUCCUCACACCCCACGAGGCAAGAGUAAUGCAGGAUCACAAAACUGGGAACAGCCGCUCCUGCAUUCCUCCCCCACUGGCUCUAGAAGUCCCAAGAGGAAGGUGUCACAUUUGCUCAUGACACGCUGCUUUGUCCAAUGACACUUUCCCUUCCGGUUCUCCUGCUCCCGGAAGCUGUCUAGAAGGAGCGACCUCUGCUCCUGGCCAGUGUGAGGCCCUGGCUGCCUCCCCUCUCUUCAGGUCACAGUUUCUCCACGCUCCAGUCUACUCCAAACUCAUCCUUUCCAUCUUCCUAUAUACCUCACCGCCCAACUGCUCCAAUCAGGAGGUCUUGGGCUUUGAAAACCUUCAGUAGCUUUAUGGCAAUUUUAUUGAAAGAACUCUUCCAACAUUUACUUGUUUUUCAUCACAGACCCCGUGCCCUGGAAUCCAAGCUGGAUUGUAAGGCCCUGAGGGGAGCUUUAGAUCUUAUUAUUUUUUGCAUUCUUCAUACCGGGCCUGGUGUCUUAGUCCAUUCGGGCUGUGAAAACAAAAAUGCCAUAGAGUGGGGAGCUUAUAAACCACAAUUGCUUCUCACAGUUCUGGAGGCUGGAAGUCUAAGAUGAAGGCGCUGGCAGACUCAGUGUCUGGUGAGGGCUGCUUCCUGGUUCAUAGCUGGCCGUCCCCUCCCUGUGUCCUCACAUGGCAGAAGGACCGAGGAGCUCUGUGGGGCCACUUUUAUAAGGGCCCCACCUCCUAAUACCAUCACCUCAGGGGUUAGGUUUCAACACAUGAAUUUAAGGGGGGGGCACAAACAUUCAGGCCAUAGCACAUAGAGCUUGAUGCCUAGAAGAUAUUUAUUAAAGUUUUUGAAUGACCAAGGGCUCCAAUAACAUGAAUCCACUUACUCCUCUUCUGAUCCUAAACAGUCACCAUGGAACCAAACCCCAGCUCUCAUCCUUCAAGAUAAGUUCUUUCCUGGAGACUCUUCUCGCCUCUGAACGUCCAAAGGAUUUAUCUUAGGUGCUGGGUUGUGAGUCGCUUCUGCACAUGGUCCAGGACAUCAUGGAGGGGUCGGGGGACAGGAGACAGUCUUUUGCCUCCAUGACCCUGGUAUGCUGGAUGCGUCAUCCAAUUUGUUCCUACUUCUCGAGGGCCCUGCUAGUGGGCUCAACAUAGCAAAUGUGGGGGUUGGUAUUUAAUUGUGGACGGACACGCCAGAAACAUCCCAAAUCCUCAGCUUCCUACUUCUCUCUACGCAUCUCCUUCCACCACUGCUCUGCUGAUAGAGCAAAGGAAGAGGCACAAUGAGAGGCCAGCAUCGUGGUGCCCACUUGGGUCUGGGCAGCUGGAGGAUGAAAAGACAACUUUAGGUGCAUGGGCUGGACUCCCUCAUGGGCCAACUGGGAGGCGAUGGUGUGGCGGUUCAAUCCCUUAGAAUCGCACGACGGGAAAGCUCAAGGUGGACUCAGAUCUCAGCUCCCAAAUCUGGAUGUGGGAAGGAGAAGAGAGUGUGCUGUUAACCCCUUGUUGCAAAGAGCCACUGUCCUGUCUAAAUAUAAAGGGCAUGGCGUGAACCCAUCAGAAAGUUAUCGCCACCACUUCUUUCUGAGGAAGGUGGGAGGCGGGGUCUGCUGUGGGCAGAAUUCUCAAGAGUGUGAGCAGCCACAGUUGGGCCCAGAGGAGCAAUACAACAGGGAAACGCCACCCUCCACCCCACAUGACAACACUCUCCAGCCCCUUAAGUGACAAUGGGAAGCGAAUAUGUCUUGUUUCCUUGUUACAUACCCAGCGCAUGGCACAAAGUCCGUCAUAGAUUAGGAACCCAGUAAACAUUUGUUGAGCAAAUAAAUUUGUUGAGCAAAUUCACGCACAAUGAAAUUGCUGAUCUGUGGCUUUAGAGCAAAUCUUUGGGACCAUCGUAAGUAGUUAAUAUGGAACAGAUGCAGCAUGGGAAACUUUGAGACAUAAAUGACCACG
ensembl:lncRNA